rnacentral:rRNA from 1 species
UACGGAGGGUGCAAGCGUUAUCCGGAUUCACUGGGUUUAAAGGGUGCGUAGGCGGGUUGGUAAGUCCGUGGUGAAAUCUCCGAGCUUAACUCGGAAACUGCCGUGGAUACUAUCAAUCUUGAAUAUCGUGGAGGUAAGCGGAAUAUGUCAUGUAGCGGUGAAAUGCUUAGAUAUGACAUAGAACACCAAUUGCGUAGGCAGCUUACUACACGAUCAUUGACGCUGAGGCACGAAAGCGUGGGGAGCGAACAGG